AUGAGGGGGAGGAGGAGGGGGAGCAGCGGCACGGCCACCGACUUCCUCGUCUGCUUCCCGCCGCGGGCGCACCUGGCGCUCAUGCCGCCCAAGACGGCCUGCAGCCCGUCGCGGCCGUCCGCCAGCUCCGAGCGCCGGCACAGCACCAGCGGCGCCCGGCCGUCGUCGUCCGGCUCGCACCUCAGGGUGGCCGCCAACAGGAACCCGAGCCGGCGCCACCACGCCGUGGACGUCGGCGAGGACAACGAGCCGUCGUCGCCCAAGGUGACGUGCGCGGGGCAGAUCAAGGUCUCCCGGUCGGCCAAGCCCAAGGCCGCCGGUGCUGGCGGGAAGAAGAAGGCCACGUGGAUGCAGGCGCUCGGGAUCAAGAAGGACGCCCUGCCCUUCCUCAGCGCCCUGCACGGCGCCUUCCGGCUCAACGUCUCCGGCUGCUUCGGCAGGUUCCCCGGCGCCGUCGUCGAGUACACCUCCGGGGAGGAGGACGAGGAGGAGGAGGAGGAGCAGGCGGGGCGCGCGGGGAAGGAGACGGAUCGGCGCCACGGCGACGCAUUGGCCAAGUGGUUCAUGGUGCUCGAGGAAGGGAAGAGGGCUCCCCGCAAGAACCAGGAGCACGAGCUACCGCACGAGGAGCAGGAGAAAGAAGACGCGGCGCCGCCGGCGAACGCGCUGAUGCUGAUGCGGUGCCGGUCGGCGCCGGCGAAGGGGCUGGCGAGGAGGCUAGGAGUAGCCGACGCAGGGGAGGACGAGGAGGAGGCCGAGAGCGAGAGCAACAAGGCAAGGGAGGAAGAGCCGGAGAAGGAGAACCUGGUGGUGAUGAGGUACCCGCCCGACUUCUUCCAGGUGUCCAUGGACAUCGCCAAGGAGACAUGGAUCGUCGGCGGCGACGACUCGGUCCUACGCUGCCGGAGCUGGAAGAAAUGA
rnacentral:rRNA from 1 species